rnacentral:tRNA from 1 species
GGGGUUGUGGCUCAGUGGCAGAGCACUCGCCUAGCAUGUGUGAGCCCUGGGUUUAAUCCUCAGCACCA